rnacentral:piRNA from 1 species
UAAGUCUGAUCAAGCAGCCGUGCAGAGAU